GGUACCUUCUUCAGAAACAACACAGGGACACCAUUCAAAGUCGCAUGCUUUGUGGCUUUGACAGGAAGUGUCUGCAGGGCGUCUGGAUGGCUCCUUCACACCACACUGACUCACUAUUGCCCAUCCAGGAACAAAGCUCUAUUACGAGAAUAGUUUGUCCAGGUGCUCAUGAUGCUUCAAGGUUUUUUGGUUUUGGCCUCAUGUUCAGCUUAAAAUGUUACUGUUGUGAUUCACACUUGGAUGCCCUCAUACAACUUGCUUUUGGUAUUAAGCUGGCGAACAGAUAGAUGGUAGAGGAUUGGGCCAAAGAAAGUAGACAUGAUGAUACAAUGAUUCCACUGUCCUUGAGUGGUCAAAGUGGUCUGUUUUUAUGUUCAGAGGCUUGCUAAAAACACCUUUAUAAUAGUUUUAACUUUAUAAAAUGAUCUUGAACCUCUAGAAUUUGUUGCUCAACUGGUGACUUUUAUACAUCGAGAAUACAUUUUGGAACAUAUUUGGAUUGAAAUCAGUGGGAAAAAAAAUGGAAUAAUUACACUGUACAUCCCCCGUCUUUUAAAUUAUUUGAAACAAAUUAUUCCCUAAAUGGAGCAAAUUAGGUUGAGGUGUUGGGUAUUGCUUUAUAAGUUUAGUACCAAUGUUUAGAUUUUUAAGGAGAAACAACACAAAAGCUGGAUAACCAGGUAAGUGCUUGGUCAAACAGCGUGUCGGAAACUGUAACUGUGUUCAGUUUUCUUUCUUGGCAAUAGAUGCCUUAAUGAUAAAUGUGUCUUUCCACUCCGGACUCUUUGGAGAACCAAAUCAUUCAGGCUAACCCGGUGCUGGAGGCAUUUGGCAAUGCCAAGACCAUCAGAAACAACAACUCCUCACGCUUUGUGUACUUAAUCAAAUUACAGUAUUCUCAGUAUUUCAUAUUGGAAACAAUUAUGUCUAAUAAACAGUUCCGUGCAAUAAUAAUGUAUUCUUGUGUCUUUUGCAUCCACUUUGGCCCAACAGCGAAACUGGCUGGCGCCGACAUUGAGACCUAUCUUUUGGAGAAAUCGAGAGUGAUUUCCCAGCAGGCUACUGAGAGAGGAUAUCGUAUCUUAUACCAGGUCUUGUCUGCUAGGAAGCUAGAACUGAUGGAGGCUCUGCUGCUGAGUCCAGACCCUGAACAAUAUGCAUGGAUGUGUCAGGGAGUAACUGUGGUGGACAACAUGGAUGAUGGUGAGGAGCUGCGGCUCACUGAUGGGACCUAUGAAACUAUGAGAUUUUAUGUGAGAAGGAAUUUGCUAUCCCACUGUUUCAUUUUACCUUGUGUUGUCGAUAAUAUUGUACACCGUUGGUGCCACUAUUGCUUGUGUGCAUGUGCGUGCAUGUUUGAUGUCAUAGUUUUCCCUCCUGAGGAAAAGAUGAGCAUGUAUAAGCUGACUGGAGGCAUAAUGCACGUUGGUAACAUGAAGUUCAAACAGAAGCCCAGAGAGGAACAAGCUGAUGUCGACUCGACUUUUAUUCUCUCUCUUUUUAACGUUCCCCUUUAUUUGAACCCUUUUGGUUUCAUGAAUAUUUUUGUAUCAUUUGUGCAUGGCUACAUCAUCUGAUACAUCCGCUCACCUUUCACGAUGCACCCCUCUCCCUUUCAAUCUCCCGUUCUCUUGCAUCUAGUUUACCAGUUUUGAGCAGUUGUGCAUCGAUUUCACCAAUGAAAAACUCCAGCAGUUCUUCAACCACCACGUUUGUACUGGAGCAAGAAGAGUACAAGAAGGAGGGUAUUGACUGGGUCUUCAUUGACUUUGGACUUGACCUGCACGCUUGCAUUGAUCUGCUCGAGAAGGUAGCACUCAUUCACUCCAUCACUCGUGUUGCAGAAAGGAAAAAGUCUCACACUGUUCGUAUGAUUUGGGAUAAAAUAAACAUAAAUGUAGUAAACUAAAAUAAACUUACCUGUUAAGGAUAACACAUUUUAUCGCUCUUCAAAAUAAUAUACUGUACAAAAAAUUCUGGUUAAAACUAAAGAGCAGGUUAGUCUGUGAUACAAUGUUUACGGCAGAUAAGGCAUUGAAAAAAAUGUGUGCAAAUACCAUUUAUAGUCGAGACAUUAGCCAGUCGUGUUUACAGUGCGUAAGCAUUGAGAAAAAACAAUAUAGAUAUAAUAAUAUAGAUCUGGUUUCCAGAUUUUCAGACACACACACACACACACACACACAAAUACAUAGUGGACAAUGUCCACGUAAAACAAAAGACCGUGACUAAGCAAAACAGUGUACCGGUAAAUCUCACUAUGCUCCUUUCUGAUUAUCUGUGGCCAACAGAAACAGUUGAACAAGCUGAUGAGCACUUUGAGAAGCACCGCUCCUCACUUUGUGCGCUGCAUCGUGCCCAACGAGGUCAAGAAGUCAGGUGUGACAGAUAACUUCCUGAUCCUUCACCAGUUGGCCUGCAAUGGCGUGCUUGAGGGCAUCCGGAUAUGCAGGAAAGGAUUCCCCAAUCGGCUGCAGUUCCCAGAAUCUAAACAGAGAUAUGAUUUAUAUGUAAAAACAGUCGGUCAAUUCUGCACUGAACUGAUGAUGGUACAAUGAAAGUUACAGUUUCACACCAAGAGGAAACAAAUCCUUUCUCCAGGGUGGCAAACACCAAAAGGAGGUGUUACGUAUAAUCAAAUCUGAAGCUCCCAAGAAUUUAUAUUGCGUGUAUUUUUCUCUUCCAUCAUCCUGUUGUGCUACCUAUAGAAACUACAUCCUUAACCCCAACAUCAUCCCGAAGGGAUUUGUUGAGAACAAAAAGUUGUAGUAAUAGUUUACUGCAAUUUACGUGGAACAAAUAUAACAAUAAUUUCUGCACAUUUUGACUCAUAAUUUUCAAUAUUUUAUCAUUCAGACUUCCAUAAAAUACAUUUGAGAUGGUUGUACCAUCCAAUUUUUGCUUCAUAUACUUAGAAUGCAUUGUUCCCCUCCCCCCCACCUUGUGUUAGUCACCUGAAUGUGAUUGUAAACAGUAUCCCCCUUAUUUCUCAACCCUUACUUUAAAUCUGCAAUUGGCUGGCAACAGUGGUACAACAAAACUGUUCCAUGAAAUCGUAUUAAUUAAUUCCCAACUGUCUAUUCUCUUGAUUUUGUAGCAUUUCUCUUGGCCGCACUGCUUCCACUACAUGUGGAUGUCGGACUUUUUGGGUCCAAUCAGAUUUCAUCCUCUAUGUGCUGCCAGAUCAGUUUAAAAUAUAAAUAUUAAAAACCUCUCAGCACGGCCUUCAGAAUCAGUAGUGCUGGUCGAUAUAACUUAAACUAUAUUAGCAAUGGGACUCUUUCUUUUACCAAUCAGAUUUCAAUUCAUUCUCACAGGGCCAGCUCGCUGGGCCACAAUAACGUCAUCCUUUUUCCGUCCUCUAAUUGGUUGGUCAGAGUAAGCCAAGUUCAACUAGCAAAGCAUCUCUGUAACACAUUUAAUAAUCAGCAUCUCUGGUCAGUAUGACGUAUUUCUUUACAUUUUCUGAUAUUGUUGUAAUGUUAUUACAUAAAUAUUGAUUCUGAACUGCUCCAGAUGAUAUACGUGGCACAGUUGCAUGCUGUUAUAUUUCACAUUUGUAUUCAUGGUUUCUAUCAUUGUGAUGUGAUAGUGGUGGUAUUAAGAGGUGGAUUAAGUCGGGUAAAUCCCUACUGUAGGCCCAGAUAUCAAAUUCACGGCCGGUGACCAGUCCAUGUUGUAGCCUGCCUUUCCCCCAAAGUCAGCUGGGAUAAACUGAAGCUCACUUGCAACCCUAAUGAGGACAACCACUAUGGAAAAUGGAUGGAUGAAAAUAAAAUAAUUAAAAUAAUAUGUGUGCGUUUUCAGGUGGAGGAAGGCAACCUGGUACGUGUGCAGCUCGAGCUGGCUCAAGUCAAAGCUGACAUCGACCGCAGAAUACACGAGAAGGGAAUAGUUUGAGGUGACUAGAAAGUAUCAUGCCCGUGCAGUGGAGUCCUUGCAGGCCAGCCAGCCUACAGGCAGAGGCCAAAGGGCGUGCUGAAGGACUGCGGAUGAAGAAAAAGACGGAAGGAGACUUGAACGAGAUGGAAAUCCUGCUGGAGCAUGCCAAAAAGGAACAACGCUGAGCGAGUUGAAACCCUCAAGAAGCUGCAGGAUUGAUUCUGGUGAAAAGUCGAGAAAAACUGAACUCUGUUUAUCAUCCUUGCGUCUGCUUUCUUCUAAAGGAACUGCAGGUGCAGAUGGAUGAAGACGCACGUCUCAUGACGAGCUGAGGACAGAGAGCCCACUUGUGUGUCGUUCCUGCAUAGAAAAGUCAAUAAACUACUUGCAACUAA